rnacentral:rRNA from 1 species
GACGAACGCUGGCGGCGUGCUUAACACAUGCAAGUCGAACGGACAGGCCCUGCUCUUGUUGGUUUCUCGAUUGGCGAACGGGUGAGUAACACGUGAGUAACCUCUCCCUGACUGUGGGAUAACUUCAGGAAACUGGGGCUAAUACCGGAUAUGAUCUCCUGCUGCAUGGGGUUGGUUGGAAAGUGUCGGCGUUUGGGGAUGGUCUCGCGGUUUAUCAGCUGGGUGGUGUGGUAGUGGCUUACCAAGGCUAUGAUGGAUAGCCGACCUGAGAGGGUGACUGGCCACACUGGAAGGGAGACACGGCCCAGACGCCUACGGGAGGCAGCAGUAGGGAAUCGGCCGGAAUGGGCGGAAGCCUGACGGAGCAACGCCGAGUGAGGGAUGAAGGUCGUCGGAUCGGAAAACUCGGUUAUUGGGUAAGAACAUAUUUGUAAGUAACGGGGCACAUCUUGACGGGACCUAGUCAGAAAGCCACGGCUAACUACGUG